rnacentral:lncRNA from 1 species
CUAGCACCAAAACAGAAACACAUUUGGCCUGGGAGCUUUCCAGACAGAAAGGACAGCUGAGUUGAUUUUAGGCUCUCUUUCCAGUUUGGAAAGAGUAUAAACGGCUAACUCCUUUUCUUUGUCUUUCUCUGCUAGAUAUUUCCAACGUUGGCAGGAGGGCGGUCUGCAACUGACAACACCAGCAGUAAUUACUGAGGAGACACUCUCUUUCUCCUCAAGACACUCUAUUCUUGGAGAAGUCUGAUUCUUACUGUCACAGGUGGAGUCACUGAAUUGGCCCUGAGCUAAUGUCUGUGCCCAUCCUCCUCUAUUUUGCAUGUGGCACACUGCCACAGCAUGGCUUGAGGAGCAGUGUGCACAUCCACACCUGGGAUCCAAACCUGCAAAUCCUGGGCCGCUGAAGCAGAGCGCGUGAACUGAACCAUUACACCACCGGGCUGACUUAUGUGAUUGAAAGUGAGGUGGAGCUAUUGUCUUUUGGUUUUUAAGCCAAAAACAUAUAGACCUGUGGAUGUUGGCAGACCUCCUCUGCACCACACAGAGAGGACCUUUAUGCAGUAGAAGAUGAGCUAACAGAAGCAUAAACAAGGAGAGAAAAAGAGAUGGAUGGAGACAAGUGUGAGUCCUUAGCUCUAGUCCUUGUCAUCUUAUGUCCAGUUUUGACUUUGUAUCUAGAAAGUUCAAGCACUCUUUAAAUAACAUACUUAGCCUACAGGAAUAUCCAGGAGGCUUGGCGAC